UCUUGUUUUAUUGUACUGCCACUCAACUUUUCUGAAUCUCCCACUUGGCUGUGUCUCUGUACCUGCUAAAUCAACACAGUUCCUGGCAUACAGGUGCAUUUCAGUGCAUGCUGGUGAGACAGCGAAGGGCUUGAAACAGUCCACAAAAGUUGAUGCAGGAGAGCAGUACAAUCCUUUCUGGAGUGGGACUCAGAGAAAGAUCAUGCAUGUUGAAGUCAUUCCAGCAGCAGUCCAGGGGAGUUGGGGCAGGUAAGAUGGGAUAAGUGCACUCCAACCAUCAUUUCUGUUGGUCAUAACUCCAGGAGAGAAAGUUUAGAACAGCUAUUUGAGGACGGUGAAAAGAAAACAGCAGAAGGAAUAUUGGUGAAGAACACAGAAUUUGAAGUACAUCAAACCAGUAGCCCUGGGCAAACCCACACCUGUAGGGUCAGCAGUCAGUAACGGGACUGACAGGAGCCAAAACUGAGGCAGUGUAAACUUGUUCUUUUUUCAGAAGAACUGUGAUCCCACGGGCUCACUUCCAAGCCAUACAUGUUUGGAUCUGGUUUUAAUGAGGAUACCAAGACCUUUGAGAACUGAAGUAAUAGAGAGGUCAUCACCUGGUUCCUAGACUGGCUUCUGGGUGGUGCACACCUGAAAUGGAGACAAAAAGCAGUUUGAAAACUGAGUGGAUGUUGACAUCACAGCGCACAGAAGGUAAAUGCAGAGAUUUCAGACUACAAAGUGACCUUCAUAGGCCAAUGGUGUUUCUGGAAACCUGUGAGCAGAAAAAGGACUUCCACUCUGAGGGGUGGCAGCAUAGUCACUUGGCUGGGGCAACUGGUCUCUUUGGCAAUAACUGCUUAUCAGAGAGGUUCCCAUGGCAUCCAGGCCCUGCAGGAUGCUGUUGAGACCCUGUCAGGUGAGAACAAAAUGGCAGUAGUGUGGCCCAGGCUCCCAUACUGAGGACGGAAGGCACCAGAAGACAGUAGACACUGGUCCAAAACCUAGAGGUGUGCACAGCAGAUGGAAAACUACUUUCUGCCAGCAGAGGUGACAUUUUCAGGGGGCUUCAUGGCUUUAGUGAGAGAGAACCAAGGAACUGGAAAGGAUGGACACUGUGGGUGGCCACACACACAAACCUCGGCGACUGGCAAAAUCAUCUGAGGAGAAUUGAAUUGUUUCCUUGGCAAACGAAGUGGUUGAAGAACUAUUUUUAUGGCUGUUCUUAUGAUUCUGUGUUUCACUGUAGACUGGCACAGCCUAGAGAACAUGCGCUAUGGUUGUUAUAAGGACAAUCUACAAAUAUUACAAGUAAU